AAACGGCAAAGCUUUCGAGCCUAGCUUUUAUAACAUCUUAACACCUGUGAACUAUUUGCCUUCGGGCUAACUUAAACAUAAUGUAAUGAAUGUAAACUAUUAUAAUAAAUACAACUUUCAACAACGGAUCUCUUGGCUCU
rnacentral:misc_RNA from 1 species